ensembl:lncRNA
GUCUUCCUCGCAGGUGGGUGACCUGCCUGAGGAAGGGGGUUCUCAGAGCAGCGCUGGACCACGGAUGCAGCGCUCUGUGGAAUAGCCACUGCUCAGGAGAAAGCCGCAGGAGACCAGGAUGCCCCGCCCAGGAGUGACAUUGAUGGAUGAGGGUUUGCUGCUCCUGCAGACGCGAGCCUCGCAGAACCCUGCCUGCUUGAGAGGCAGGGGGCCAAGACAAUCCGCUUUUUGUUGGGUGUGGGGCGGGUGUUCCCAUCCAGACAACGGGCUGAGUGGACCUGGCGCACGCAGCUCGUGGAGAUCAGCAGAAGAGAAUGUACUGAAAGUCCUAUAGACAGUGAAAGCAGAAUGAAACCAAGAGACUUCCAGACGUCUCACUUCUGCCAUCCGAUGCCCUGCUGCUCUUUUUGUCUGGAAUGUUCUUUCUCCACCUGAUUUUCCUGGAUCUGGAUCCACCUAUUUAUUCCUCAAAACCGAUUCCUUGAUGAAACUUGCUCCCUCCUUGGUACUGUCAUUGCAAUUUCUGUGUUAUAUUUGGUGCAAUAUUUAAGCUAUUUUGCUGUGGUUAAUUGUUUAUAUGUCUCUAUCUUGCAGAAAUGCAUUAGUCUUUAAUAACGAUCACAAAAAUCCUAUCCUCCCCAUUUUAUAGACAAGAACGUGAAGUUCAGAGAGGUUCCAUGACUUACUCAAGUUCACCUGGCUAGUAAGUAAUGGGGCAAACGAGCACAGGGAGGUCAGCCCCAAAGUCCGUUCUCUCCACCAUGGGGUGAAGCUGCCUUUUUACAACAAAGGAUCCAAAGGUGAGAAUGCGUUUUAUCCUCAGCUAAUUCUUCAUACCAAUGGCUAGUUACUAACUCCCGUUGAUAGAAUGCUUGUGAUUUACAGUGAUCUUAUUGGACUGUGAAGCCGCAAGGCAGGGAUGCUCUACAGUUCUGAAGUUCAUUGCUUUGCAGUUGAGGAGUGGAGGCUCAAAGAAGGGACUUGCCAAAGAGCCAUCCUGCUAUUUUGCAGCAGUUAGAAAUUUGUGGGAAAUUAAACGCACAUCUAACUCCAAAUCCCUUUGCCGUGUUGCAACAAUUAAUUCGGAUCCACAGUCCAUUUAGCAUGCAGUAGUGGCAGAGUCUACAGAUAAAUGAACUGGGCAUGGUACUUGGGAAACCAAGACAUUGUUUUUGAUUCCAGUGUUGUCAGGCUUUUCCUCCUUUGGCCAUGGUGGGUACAGUGAACAGUGUUGCACAUUGAAGUCAAGUGGGAGAAUCCUAGACCUCAGGAUGUGAUCAGGAACAGUCAUUUGUCUUCCAUGGAUUGAUCAUAUUGUUACAUGAGUUGACUUGGUGUUACAGAGUGGCAUUCUCACUCCUUUUAUUUUUCUUCCAACACACACAUGACACACUUGUGGGAGAGCUCAGAGAUAUGCAUAAUUUCCCAUGUUCUAAUUUUAACUUGACCUUCUUCUACUCAAGACAGCAAGGAAAGGAGUGAGAAGGAUAUUAGAAGAAAACACAAUCUUUUAUUUAUUUGAAUGGUAUUUCUUUUUGUCAAGUUUGGUACCUUAGAGGAAGCCUCUGACUCAUCUCACAACACAUUGGGACAUACCUGUGUCAUGUGUUGCAGUCCUGGAGAAUAGAAGGCUAAUUAUGGCCGGGCUCUGUCCUCAAGCAGCUCACAUUGGGUGGGGCAAGCAGACAUGGACCGUUGACUAUCACUCAAGACAGGAAGUCCUAGUACCAAGGAUUUUGUACUGGGGGUGCAAAGAAGGG